rnacentral:tRNA from 1 species
AGAAUGAAAUUAAAAUUAAUGAAAAAUGCCAGCUUUGGGAGUUGGAGAUAGAGGUUUAAGCCCUUUUUUUUCUG